rnacentral:lncRNA from 1 species
UUUUGUGAUUAAAAUAAACAUAAAAAUAAAAAUAAUUAAAAUAAAUAAUGCGGGUUGUUGGAUACCCACGUUAGUGCUCAUCAAAUUUUUUCUCAACACUAAAUUCACCUACAACUCGUAAAAUUAACCGCAACGAGCGGAUUUUUACGGAUAGAUUUAAGUGUGUUGGUUAGUUGGCGGGUAAUUUUGCCGUCCCUAAACUCAUCUCAUGUGCUCGAAUUCAUCACACCAAUUUCUCUUUUCCCGCUCUUUUCUUUUUUCCUUUUUUUGGGGAAACUCUCGAAUAGUCGUCUCCUUGUCCAAAUUUGCACCCAAAAUGAAGGAUACGCAAAGGAUUUCUGUUCCCACCCCCCUUCUUUUCCCAUGCUUCCAAUUCCAAUGGGUUCAGACAGCACCAUCAAGGCUUUAUCGAAAAAUGGCAUGGACCGCCCAUUAAUACACCCUUUUCUUUUCUGAAUUGGAUGCGAAGCUAUCUUCUCACCUUUUGCAUGCCUUCAUUCUACCCACAAGAGAGAUUGUUCCUUCUUCUUCCUCUCUCCACCGUACAAUAACAGGAACAGGAAACAAGAAGCCAAGUUUUGGUAGACAAUGAAGAGAAAUUGAAUUGCAUUAUCUAGUUCUGAAACUCAAAGAACACAUUAGUGCCUUUUAUCGGAUGGCAAAAACCCGUGAAAGGCUUUAUGCGUUUAGGCUUUCACACAGGUUCGUCUUUUGAUCUUAGGCUCAAGUAAACAUAGGGGGCCCCCACGAUCUUUUAUACACAAUAAUGGCUUUUUUAAAAAUUAAUAUUGAUAAUGUGUAAUACAUAUGAUUUUUAAAUAAUAAUUUUAACAAAAAUAAUAAACAUGUAAUAGGUUCUAUCGUAUAAGCAUGGGAUCAUAUUAACUUAACUUUCAAAUUAUAAUAACUAUUGUCUACUAAAUACUGGAA